UCAGGUACCUGAUGCGACCUGUCCGCAGCCUCCUCCUGCACUGCUCUUAGCCCUGCAGACGGUGGCCAAGCAGUGGAGUGGAAAGCGUGACCUAGUGGACAGGUGUGGCCUGCACGGCGUUUGGGCCGCUGUUGCUGUGUGCUGGCACUGCAAGGCGGGAUGCUGUACCCCAAGGAGAGUCCGUCGCGGGAGCCCAAGGAGCUGGGUGGCCUCUGGAGCUUCCCUGCCGAUUUGGACAACCGACGCCAGGGCUUUAAGGAGAAGUGGUACCCGCGGCCACUGCAGGAGUCAGGCCCCACCCUGGACGUGCUGGUUCCCUUCAGCUUCAACGACAUUGGCCAGGACUGGCGCCUGCGGCAUUUUGUUAGCUGGAUGUUGUACGAAUGGGAGGUGACCCUGCCGGAGAAAUGGACCCAGGACCUGCGUGCAAGAGUGGUGCUGAGGAUUGGCAGUGCCCACUCCUAUGAUAUCGUGGUAUCCCAAGGGUUGUUUUGUCCAGAACACAGACUGACUUCUUCAACUACGCGGGACUGCAGUGGUCUGUGCUUCUGUACACGACACCCACCACCUACAUCGAUGACAUCACCAUCACCACCGGUGUGGAGCAUGACAGUGGUGAGGGCUUCUGCUGUGUCCUCUCAUUUUACUCCAGACCUUUUGCCUGGGCAGAGCAUAAAACAUUUAUUCCCAAAAGUGAUAAUGAGAAGAUAUGAAAGCUAUGGCAUUGAAAAUUUAAAGUUAAAAGACUGGAAAAGCGUGGGUUAGUGUACGGGACAGAAAAAAGUUAUAGUGGACUUAACCAAUGUUAAUCUUUCAAUGUGAUGAAUGUGGCAAAGCUUUUAACUGGUGCUUAAUCUUUAUUCAACAUAAGAGAAUUAAUACAGGAGAGAAACCAUACAAAUGUGAGGAAUGUGGAAAAGCCUUUAACUGGUUUUCAAACCUUAUUCGAAAUAAGAGAAUUCGUACUGUAGAGAAACU